GCACACGCGGCGCAGUGGAUAGCACUGUUGUUUUUGAAAUUUUAGACGCGGGUUCGAACCCCAUCGGGUCA